AUUUCGCAUGUAGGGGUAAAAUCCGUAGAGAUGCGAAGGAACACCAGGGGCGAAGGCGCCUUCCUGGACGAGUACUGACGCUGAGGCGCGAAAGCGUGGGGAGCAAACAGGAUUAGAUACCCUGGUAGUCCACGCCGUAAACGAUGAGCACUAGAUAUGGGGAUGUUGACCGUCUCCGUGUCGCAGCUAACGCAUUAAGUGCUCCGCCUGGGGAGUACGGUCGCAAGACUAAAACUCAAAGGAGUUGACGGGGGAAUCCAUAUG
rnacentral:rRNA from 1 species